UUUCUCUUUCUUCUGCAUUUUUUUCUAAUCAUUUUUCUCUACCUUCUGCAAUUCUCUCUCCCCAUUAGUGAACCUCUUCAUUGCCAUGACAGUAGCCCCGUUCAAUAUUUUCCUAAAUUAAAUCUCACCUCACCGUUGCAUAUACUAAAACGCAUCACCCGGACCUCCCCUUCCAAGUCAAAGACCUCUUCACCGAGCUCCAAAUCGGCGAGGUCGAAUUCAAAAAAGGCUUACAGUUUUGCUCAAUUCUUUUUUCUCCAGAUCUAAUUCUCCUUCAAGUAACCCAUCUGUUCCAUUUUCAUGAUUUUUUUCUCUAAAUUGAAAUUCCACAGCACAUCUCAGCUUUUGAUUUCUUGCUUCUCCUACAAUUUCAGAAAUCACAAAAUUGCAGAGCGAGAAAUGUAAAAACCCUCCCACUCUCUUUAUUUUCCUCAAAAUUUCAGAAAAAUUGCAAGAGCGGAUGAAGUUUGGGGAGAAAUUUUGGGAGUAUUGCAUGCCAAGAAGGAAGAAAUUUGGCAAGAACGAAUGAAAGAUUGAGACGAAGAGAGAAGACCCAAUACAAAAUUCCAUUGGCAGUGGUCGGCGCAACUGGAAAAAAAAGUUUUUCGCCGAAUAUUGAACAUAACUCGGCUAGAUAAACUUAGUGAUGUAGUGGGUACUUGGUAGAGAUGAAGUGCAUUAUAGCCGACAGUGAAUAUUAAUGAUGAUUAAUUAAAAUAAUAGUAAGAAAAUUAAUUAUUCCACUGCCAUGUAAGUGGUCGCCUAUCUAUCACUCACAUGGUGGCGCUCAAGAGAUCAAAUCUUCAUCAAUAAAUAUCCCAUUAAAUCAACAAAUAUUUCACAUUUAUUUU